rnacentral:rRNA from 1 species
UACGAAGGGGGCUAGCGUUGCUCGGAAUCACUGGGCGUAAAGGGUGCGUAGGCGGGUUCUUAAGUCAGAGGUGAAAUCCUGGAGCUCAACUCCAGAACUGCCUUUGAUACUGAGAGUCUUGAGUAUGACAGAGGUGAGUGGAACUGCGAGUGUAGAGGUGAAAUUCGUAGAUAUUCGCAAGAACACCCGUGGCGAAGGCGGCUCUCUGGGACGGUACUGACGCUGAGACGCGAAAGCGUGGGGAGCGAACAGG